UAGAGUUUGAUCCUGGCUCAGGAUGAACGCUGGCGGCGUGCUUAACACAUGCAAGUCGAACGAUGAAGCCCCUCUUGCUGGAGGGAUUAGUGGCGAACGGGAGAAUAACACGUGAGUAACCUGCCCCUGACUCUGGGAUAACCCCGGGAAACUGGGUCUAAUACCGGAUAUGACUUUUGACCGCAUGGUUGAGGGUGGAAAGAUUUAUCGGUUGGGGAUGGACUCGCGGCCUAUCAGCUUGUUGGUGAGGUAAUGGCUCACCAAGGCGACGACGGGUAGCCGGCCUGAUAGGGUGACCGGCCGCACUGGGACUGAGACACGGACCCCACUCCUACGGGAGGCAGCAGUGGGGAAUAUUGCGCAAUGGGCGCAAGCCUGAUGCUGCGACGCCGCGUGAGGGAUGACGGCCUUCGGGUUGUAAACCUCUUUCAGUAGGGAAGAAGCGAAAGUGACGGUACCUGCAGAAGAAGCGCCGGCUAACUACGUGCCGGCAGCCGCGGUAAUA
rnacentral:rRNA from 1 species